CCUUCUCCGCCACUGCAGGCUUUGGGCAGAGGCAGGAACCAGCUAGCUUAAGGAGUUUGGAUGUUUACCCCUUGGUGCUGAGGUGCUUUCGGCCCCCAGUGAAACCGUGCAAACAACUUCGUAGUGGGAUUCUGCAGGGUGGCCCGGAGAAUGUGGAGGAGCCGGCCGGAGGUGGAGGUAGGCAGGAGGGGUACACACCAGUGUCAGUUCAGGAGGCCUGCACAGGAAUGUCUGCUUCUGAUAACAGAAACCGAAGCGAUUCCCAAUUUUAUUUUAUUUUAUUUUUCCCCCUUGAGUAGCUAAAUGCCUUUUCUGAGUAAAGGAAGAGACAACUUCGAAUGGGUGGAGGAAGAAGCUGAAACCAAUGUCAGAUCUAUUUAGUUCUAGACACCCAGGGAGCUCUUGAUAGAUAUACAUAUCCAGCAGACAGCACUAUGCAUUGACGCCAGGUGGAGACCUCAGCUUUCCCUUGAGAGAUAUAAUCCAGAUUCUGGACAUGGAAGCAGGAAGACCACUCAUUAAAGGUCUGCCUGGGAAAUUUAAUGAGGCCAGCAGCUCAAAAUAAAAGAAGUAGAAAGAGGGCUAGUGACAUAGUGCAAUAGUAGCAUGCUCACCCAGCAUGUGCCCUAUCCCAGCAUCAUUAAAUAGGCAAAUAAAUAAGCAGACUAUUGGCAACUUCUGAACACAGAGGCAACCAGGCCCGUGGGAGAGUGUGGACUGGUAUCCCCUCUGUAAGAGCAGCCCAGGUUCUCUCCUCUUCAAGCCUAUUUCCAACUGAUUGUUUGUAACCUCUCCAUUAUUUCCUCCAAAGACAAGGAAGGAUGUGACUUGAAAGUCCCCUUUGGAAGAAAAGAGGGGCUGGCUGGCUGGGAAAGCAAUUGGGCACCUGGAGCUCCAGUCCCAAUAUUGACUAUGUAGGUUUGGGCAGGACUCUAAACAUCUUUGAGAUUUUCACAGACGUGAAAUGUUAUAAUAACAUGUAUCUCCCUGGGCUACUGUGAAGAGUCCAUGAAGAAGAGCAUGUGAAUUCUUCUGAGAGUCAUAAAAUAGAUGGUUCACUCUGCCGUACUUUAAAGGAACAUAAAUGGUCUAAGGUCGGAAGGAACCCUGCUCCUGGAUUAUUUAGUAUUUCAACAACAACAAUCUACUGAAAGUGAGCUCUUGACAGCGUGAGAAGGAGGACCUCUAGUGUGAAGACAAGAGAGAAUCUGAUUAUCUCUCUCUUCUGAUUAUUCUCAUGUAGCCCAGGCUAGCCUGGCACUGUGUAGCUCAAGAUGACCUUGAACUUGUGGUUCAUUCCUCCUGUUUCGGCCUUCCAGAUACAGCUCUAUAGUGCUUUAUUAUUAAAACCAAAUGGCUCCAUGGAAACAAAAUACAAACAUUUGUUGACCCUUGCAAGGGGAAUAUGGGUGCUCCCCACACUCAAUUUUGUAUUAUUGGGUCUCCUAAUUUUUCUAAGUUGGAAUCAUCUAAUACAAGGUACCAUAUAUUCAUGCCCCAAACUCACACGUCAGCCCUGGCUGUGUUAUGGGAUGCCUCUGUUUUCUUAUAAUGCCCCAGGUUUGCUCAUGCUCUCUCCUCUCCUUGUAGCACAGGUUGCUGAUCCUGCCUGUGUCUGGAAAUAGGUUUGGCUUCCCUAACCUACUUCCAUGUCCCAGGGAACUCCAGGCCUCAGUCCUAACCCCAGAACCUGGGAUAGGCCUCCUCACUGUGGCACUGCUGUGGGUACCUCUGUCACUAAAGGACAUUCCAGGCACUGCAGAACCAUCUAGACCAUCACCUCUUAGAGCCAACUUGACAUAGAAUUUGAAAACUUGUACACUCAUCCUCCUGAGUUCUGUGAGGGAGAUUAUCUGUGUGGACUUUGCAAAUACCAAUCUUUACACAAACCUUCUUGGUUCGCAUUGGGAGUUAUCUUAGCCUCUAAUCGCAUGUGGCCUUACCAUAUGUGAUUUAGUCAUUAGGACAUUCAUCCAUUUACAUCUAGCAAGGUAUUACGUAUUUGUGGCAGGCCUCCAAGAGUCCUGCCUCUUUGGGAUGGAUGGCUUGUGGAAUGUCCUGGACAGUAUGAAAUUUCACCCUAUGGUGGGGUUAUGUUAUACAGAAAAGGUGAAGUGGCCUUGAUGCUAUGAUUAAAGUCCCCCAUGAGCCAACUUCUAGGAAUCAGGAAGAAGGGUUUUCAGCUUGUAAAGUGAGGACCCAUAUUAUCCCUCCUAAUAGGGACUGGAAACCGAAUAGGGACACAUUAUACGGCCAGUGAAGAUCCAUUAGCCAUGUUGUGUAGCAGGGACAUGCAGGAAGCUCUAGAACCUCAAGGCUUGGGCAUCUGACCAAGAAGCACAUGAGACUGGAAGAGGGCUUGGGGCCUCUGUGAGAUGUCAACCUCGACUGUUGCCUCAGCCGCUGCCUGGUGAGACCGGGAGAAGAGGACCCAGCCAGCCGUGCCUACACUCCCAACAAGUGUGCAUUCUCUGAAGCCACUUAGUUUGUAAUUAUGGUGUGAAAGUCACAAGAAUCAGAGUGGAAUUGCUCUGACAAGUAAGCAAAUGAAGCAUGGGGAUUGUGAAGCAGGGAGUUUGGUGCACAUGGACCUGAAAACAGAAGAUCUGCCUGGAAUCUCAGUCUGGCACUAGGGUUACCACAAGUUUGUACAGACUGUACCUCUGCAAGGACAUCUGUCUGGCCUUGGGAUGGUGCCACCCUUGCUGCUGAUCUCACUAACACGGAGAGCUGACUGAAAGAGCUUCAUUGACUUGUGAAACCAUUCCUUUACUCUGGAUGCUACAUGGGUUCAUGGCUUACCAGACCAUGGUAUCAUCAAUGGUCAAUGUGAUGCUCUCUGUUUCCAAAGAAAUUCAAUGUGUGGAGGGUCCCCAUUGUUAUUCUAAUUGACAGCAGUGACAGGAAACACACAUGAGAUAUCUGAAGUGUGUCAGUUACUGGGAAUGUAGAACCAUGGUGCCACUUUUGUCCCAGAUGUUCAGAGAAUAGUAGAGGAGACAGAAAUAUUAACUGUCAGAGCUUUUAAAAAGCAAUAUGAAAAUAGGAGUCAAGGCACCAAGCUGGUUACCGUGGGGUGGAGCACACACAGCUGCCCUUCACAGGGCCUGUCAGGGGAGCCAAAGAACAACUCCUUGUGAGAAGACACAGUGGGAAGCAGAUAAUGUCAGCCUUGCUCUUUUUUUGUGGGCUCGUUAGGUGGAGGCUACAGGCCUGGCAUCUCUGCAACUGAAUUCUUCACCUUCUACCUGAAGUGAAGUCCUUUGGCACAGGGGGGGGGGGGGGGAAACAAGAUCUGCAAACACAGAAUCAGAGCUGAGAGGUGAAAAAGACAGGUGGUCUUGGGGACGUUUGAACCUCAGUUCCAGCGGAGCAUGGUACCAAGUCUCAAUUCCCAUCCUUCCCAGUGAACCAGGAAAGCCCAGCUAUAAACUUGGGAUCAUUUCUAAUCUGUACUAUGACUGAGUAAUACAGAGUUAAAUAAGUUUGCAGCAUAUGACACCGGCCAUUACUAAACCGAUUGUCCUCAUAAACUAUGUACUCUGAAUACUUCAAGGGUAGCCACCCGAUUUUGGGUGCUCACUAUGGAGUGCUGAUAUGUGUAUGUCAAAAGACCAUAGUGCAAAGCACUCACUCAAUAUUAUUAACGAUGAAAAGGGUGAUGACUGUUUUUGCAGUCCCGAUGAGAUAUCUGGCUUGCAGGUGAGCAUGAACACCCUGAAUGGAAUCAAAGGCCUGUCAUUUUCUUGAAAUGACAGCCUGAUAUGGUUAAUGUAAAUAAACACUGAGAAUGGUCA